rnacentral:rRNA from 1 species
GGGUUGUGAGGUUAAGCGACUAAGCGUACACGGUGGAUGCCCUGGCAGUCAGAGGCGAUGAAGGGCGUGCUAAUCUGCGAUAAGCGCCGGUAAGGUGAUAUGAACCGUUAUAACCGGCGAUACCCGAAUGGGGAAACCCAGUGUGAUUCGUCACACUAUCAUUAACUGAAUCCAUAGGUUAAUGAGGCGAACCGGGGGAACUGAAACAUCUAAGUACCCCGAGGAAAAGAAAUCAACCGAGAUUCCCCCAGUAGCGGCGAGCGAACGGGGAGGAGCCCAGAGCCUGAAUCAGCAUGUGUGUUAGUGGAAGCGUCUGGAAAGGUGCGCGAUACAGGGUGACAGCCCCGUACACAAAAGCGCAUGUGCUGUGAGCUCGAUGAGUAGGGCGGGACACGUGGUAUCCUGUCUGAAUAUGGGGGGACCAUCCUCCAAGGCUAAAUACUCCUGACUGACCGAUAGUGAACCAGUACCGUGAGGGAAAGGCGAAAAGAACCCCGGCGAGGGGAGUGAAAAAGAACCUGAAACCGUGUACGUACAAGCAGUGGGAGCACAGGUUUACCUGUGUGACUGCGUACCUUUUGUAUAAUGGGUCAGCGACUUAUAUUCUGUAGCAAGGUUAACCGUAUAGGGGAGCCGUAGGGAAACCGAGUCUUAACCGGGCGUUAAGUUGCAGGGUAUAGACCCGAAACCCGGUGAUCUAGCCAUGGGCAGGUUGAAGGUUGGGUAACACUAACUGGAGGACCGAACCGACUAAUGUUGAAAAAUUAGCGGAUGACCUGUGGCUGGGGGUGAAAGGCCAAUCAAACCGGGAGAUAGCUGGUUCUCCCCGAAAGCUAUUUAGGUAGCGCCUCGUGAAUUCAUCUCCGGGGGUAGAGCACUGUUUCGGCUAGGGGGCCAUCCCGGCUUACCAACCCGAUGCAAACUGCGAAUACCGGAGAAUGUUAUCACGGGAGACACACGGCGGGUGCUAACGUCCGUCGUGAAGAGGGAAACAACCCAGACCGCCAGCUAAGGUCCCAAAGUCAUGGUUAAGUGGGAAACGAUGUGGGAAGGCCCAGACAGCCAGUGAAGGUGUGUCGUGAGGCAUGCUGGAGGUAUCAGAAGUGCGAAUGCUGACAUAAGUAACGAUAAAGCGGGUGAAAAGCCCGCUCGCCGGAAGACCAAGGGUUCCUGUCCAACGUUAAUCGGGGCAGGGUGAGUCGACCCCUAAGGCGAGGCCGAAAGGCGUAGUCGAUGGGAAACGGGUUAAUAUUCCCGUACUUGGUGUUACUGCGAAGGGGGGACGGAGAAGGCUAUGUUGGCCGGGCGACGGUUGUCCCGGUUUAAGCGUGUAGGUGUGUGUUCCAGGUAAAUCCGGUUCACUUUAACACUGAGGCGUGACGACGAGGCACUACGGUGCUGAAGCAACAAAUGCCCUGCUUCCAGGAAAAGCCUCUAAGCAUCAGGUAACACGAAAUCGUACCCCAAACCGACACAGGUGGUCAGGUAGAGAAUACCAAGGCGCUUGAGAGAACUCGGGUGAAGGAACUAGGCAAAAUGGUGCCGUAACUUCGGGAGAAGGCACGCUGACACGUAGGUGAAGUGAUUUACUCAUGGAGCUGAAGUCAGUCGAAGAUACCAGCUGGCUGCAACUGUUUAUUAAAAACACAGCACUGUGCAAACACGAAAGUGGACGUAUACGGUGUGACGCCUGCCCGGUGCCGGAAGGUUAAUUGAUGGGGUCAGCGCAAGCGAAGCUCCUGAUCGAAGCCCCGGUAAACGGCGGCCGUAACUAUAACGGUCCUAAGGUAGCGAAAUUCCUUGUCGGGUAAGUUCCGACCUGCACGAAUGGCGUAAUGAUGGCCAGGCUGUCUCCACCCGAGACUCAGUGAAAUUGAACUCGCUGUGAAGAUGCAGUGUACCCGCGGCAAGACGGAAAGACCCCGUGAACCUUUACUAUAGCUUGACACUGAACAUUGAGCCUUGAUGUGUAGGAUAGGUGGGAGGCUUUGAAGUGUGGACGCCAGUCUGCAUGGAGCCGACCUUGAAAUACCACCUUUAAUGUUUGAUGUUCUAACGUGGACCCGUAAUCCGGGUUGCGGACAGUGUCUGGUGGGUAGUUUGACUGGGGCGGUCUCCUCCUAAAGAGUAACGGAGGAGCACGAAGGUUGGCUAAUCCUGGUCGGACAUCAGGAGGUUAGUGCAAUGGCAUAAGCCAGCUUGACUGCGAGCGUGACGGCGCGAGCAGGUGCGAAAGCAGGUCAUAGUGAUCCGGUGGUUCUGAAUGGAAGGGCCAUCGCUCAACGGAUAAAAGGUACUCCGGGGAUAACAGGCUGAUACCGCCCAAGAGUUCAUAUCGACGGCGGUGUUUGGCACCUCGAUGUCGGCUCAUCACAUCCCGGGGCUGAAGUAGGUCCCAAGGGUAUGGCUGUUCGCCAUUUAAAGUGGUACGCGAGCUGGGUUUAGAACGUCGUGAGACAGUUCGGUCCCUAUCUGCCGUGGGCGCUGGAGAACUGAGGGGGGCUGCUCCUAGUACGAGAGGACCGGAGUGGACGCAUCACUGGUGUUCGGGUUGUCAUGCCAAUGGCACUGCCCGGUAGCUAAAUGCGGAAGAGAUAAGUGCUGAAAGCAUCUAAGCACGAAACUUGCCCCGAGAUGAGUUCUCCCUGAGACUUAGAGUCUCCUGAAGGAACGUUGAAGACGACGACGUUGAUAGGCCGGGUGUGUAAGCGCAGCGAUGCGUUGAGCUAACCGGUACUAAUGAACCGUGAGGCUUAACCUUACAACGCCGAAG